UUUUUUUUUUUUUUUGGGUCAGAAGAAGACGAGUUAGAACAUAAAAAUGUCCCGGCUCUUAUACAGGAAUUGUGGAGCAGAUAUAUACAAAAAAUACAAAUAAAAUGGAUCCAGUGCUAGAAAGAUCAUAAAGACGGGCAAUAAUUAACGUGAUCAAGAAGUAGCUGAAGGCACAAAACUCACGAGAAUAAUCUUUGUUUCAUCCAAUUCCCUCUGAAUUUUCAACAACUUAUCAGCUUCUGCAGGGUCCUGAAAUUUGAAGAUAAAGUAUGUAAGAAAAAAGAAAUGAUUAUAGUCGUAGCUCAUUAACUUUCAUCUGCUAAAUUUUCUUACCAUUCCAGGCUAUAUAUGAUGAAAAAUAAAACAGAUUUACAGACACACCUGGAAUUUGGUUAGAGCCUCAUUUAGGUAAGGCCAGGAUUCAGUGCUGUCCUCUUGCGCAGUCCUCCAAGAUUCACCAAAUUUCUUCUGGUACUCAUCUAACACCUGGAAAUCAUAGCAAUUGAUUCCUUAUCAGAUAAGCAAGAUUAAAUAAGUUCCGCAAAUUUUCAACAAUUCAAAGUAUAUUCAACCCUCAAUGUCCCAUUGGGUGUGGUCAGUUUCCUAUUCGCAAAACUAGACAUAUUUGAAAUCACAAAGCUUCAGUACUACAUUACUAGUUAAACGGUGACGGCCAUUGAAACAUGCUUCAAAAUCCAACUAAAAGCUCCAUUCACAAACUAAUACAACCUAAUCCAGACAAGUAAGCGAAAUAUUUAAAAUCAAAAGCGAAACGAAACAACACAAAAGAAAAUCAAGUCACCUGGUUGAGCAGCGAAAACGCACUCCUUACUGGAUAGUGAUCAUCCAUGAAUCCCAAUGCACAGAGACCAUUGCUGUUGUAAGCAUGCACUUUAUACUCUAAAAAAACAAAAACAAAACUCAGAUUCCAUAAUCAUUAACCUCAUAUUACAAUUUUAAUCACCACAAUUAAUAUCCAUAAAUACAAAAUUGAAAUUCCAACUUCGAUUCAGAUCGCAAUGAAAUCAUAAUCAAACGGACCUUCGUGUUUGACAGACUGGCGUUGACCUUGAGGGGUGCGUUUGGCGACGGUGCGGCCGACGAAGACGAUGAACUCCUUGACGCUGGACCUCUGGAAGAAGCCGAAAUGGCUGGUGUCGGAGGCGUUGGCCAGUAUGACCGGGUCGGAUCCUUCCGGGCUGCACUUGAGGACCAGCAGCGCCGUGACCUUCAUCGUUUUCCGAGAGAGAGAGAGAUUAGGUUUUCGAAUUGAAAAUUUUGGGGGAUUUCUAGGGAUCGCGAAGAAGAAAAGGAGAAGCGAAUAGGGGGUUGGGAUCUGGUGCUUCUUAUAGAUUCGCUUUUCUUAAUGGCUUUUGUGAAAAUUCUCUACGCUAAGUAAACAAAGCGAAAUUGGACCCUAUGGUUCUUUUGUUCUAAUCGGAUUCAAUGUUAGGUCUGUCAAUGAGUCGUGUUUUGGUCCCAAAAGUAAGCCCAAUUAAAAACCAUGGCGAUUUGGUCUGAAACGAUGUAUGAUUAUCUGAUUUCACCUGAUAUUAUGAUUAACGUUUUGGUCUCAAAUGUCGUGUGAUGUCUUAUUAGAGCAAAUGCACCCAUUUUUGGGUGGGUUAGACCAAUUUUUAACCUGGGUUAAUAAAUUAUUUAUCUAAAUUAGUCUUUAGUCUUUUGUUCGACAAUACAACAACGAAAUCGAUCAUAAGACUAAUUACUAUUCACAUUUUAUAUAGAUUGUCAAAUCUUGAUAUGAACGACCCCAUAUUAAAGAAUCAUUUGGAAAAAGUUGUCAGCCUCAUGUGCAUGUUUAUUUCCCAUGUGCAAUUUGGUCUCACAUACGUCUAGUGGAGAAAUUGGUCUUGGACUGAGAGAUGGGUUAGUCCUUAACUCAGACCACAGUCCAUCAUGGUAAGACCCGCAUGGGGCCUAGUAUCAACCUAGUCUAAUUUUGUGUUGCUGGAUGUAGUUUUUAGUCUAACCUCUCAGUCCAACCCAUGCAAAUGGUCAUCUGCUGCAUUUGCUCUUAGUAUAUGAUUUUCUUAGUUACGUUUGACUCGUGUCAAAUUUACGUAAGUCUUAACUCGUGCAUUUGCAUAUACGUUACAUAUCUCUUACUAAUCUUAUUCAUUCUCUGUUCAUAUCCAUUAAGGUGUGUGUCAUGUAUGAUAAUUCUAUACAUCUAUUUAAUCUAGCUAAGGAGCUAUUAUUAGGGUUUGUAGGAGGUGAAUUUUCAUAUUGCAUCUUUGAUACUCGGUUCAAUCAUGAAUCAUAUAUGUAUGUUAUGUUGGUACCUUGUUUGUCACGUAAUGAAAAGAACACGUAUAUAUGUGUGUAAAUGGUCUUACGUUGUAAUGAAACGAGGCACGCGAGACGAUGGACAAACAUGUACGAGUAAUUAGUGAUGGAACGUUAUGAAUAAUGAGUUACGAGUAUUGGAACAUUAUGUCAACUCGGUUUGGAACAAGAAACUGAUGAGUGAGACAAGGAUAUGGUAAUGCAGGGCUUGAAAAGAAAAAAAGUAAAACCUCCAGAACCAAUGCAGCUAAUUACAGAAAAGGCAGAGGUUUCCAAAAACCGUUGAGGCUUGGAAGGUUACGAAUGCCUGGUUUGCCGCGAAAGCUCGUACAAAACCAAACUGAUCAAACUCAUCUCUCACUCUAACAAGAAUAGUAAAUACAGGAAUUUUGACUUAACCAAAUUACAAACUGGUUUUGGCCUUUAAUAGCAAAUCCUAUACUUCUAUUAAUGCGAUAAAUGAGCGAAAGCAAUUUAGCAAAGGCAAAAAACCAGAGACACCACAAUAUACCUUUUUUUGGGGGUAAAUUUAAUUCAAUCACCUCUUACCUAUUUUCCCUCAACCCCCACGAUUUCCUUCUCUCUCUCAUCUCAUGCAUUUGACAUUCCCUUGAGAGUUUUCCUUGGCAAACUUGAAGGGGAAUGUUAGAAUCCUCCGGAAGUAAGUUGUCUCUCUUUUUCCUUGAAUGUUGUUCAUGCAUGUUUAUGAUCUUAUAGCGUUUGGAUGUGAAUCUGUGUUCGUUUAUAUCUGAUCAAGAUUUGGAAUGUGUGACAGAAUCAGGAGAUAUGAUGAGAAGUUUGCUUCUCAUCUCCCUGUUGAUCCAUUCGGCAUUAGGCCAGAAAGGAGGGCCAGAGCCUCCAAAAACCAAAUGGCUGACGUUAAAUGGUAAGAACAAACUUUGUAUCCGUUUAUAUUUUCCGGUACGUACGUUUUCAUAUUUGAGGCUAUAAGUUUUUGACAUGUAUUUGUGAAUGAAAACUUAACCCGCAUGCAGGUGAUCAGCCCCUGGUUGUAGCUCGUGGAGGGUACUCGGGUCUCUUUCCAGAAUCGACCGAGUAUGCUAACACGAUGGCCAAGGACCUGAGUACGAAUGGCGCAGCUAACUUGUGCAGUCUGCAGUUAACGAAAGAUAGCAAGGGACUAUGCCUGUCUAACAUUCUGUUGGAUAAUGCAACAUCGAUAGCUGCCAUACACCCUAAACGCAGUAGCACUUACACAGUUAAUGGGAAGGAACUCAGUGGGUGGUUCGCUUUAGAUUUCAAUGCAAAGGAGCUAAACAAAGUGCAAGGUAAGACUCUCGGAUCUCACAAAUAACUGAUUCAUUCCUUUGUUAAGAGCAUUAAACAUGAACAAUGCAUUAGUGUACCUUAAGAAGAUGAUAAUAGAGAGCUCGCGAUUCGCGAAUAGUUAAUACUAACAUUUGUUGUUUAAGGUGACUAAUCAUGAUUGUUCUUCAAUUCCUGUACAGUGAUGCAGAGCAACCCUGCCAGACCAGAUCAAUUUGAUGACCUUUUCCCUAUAUCGACGGUUGAAGAUGUUUUAAAUAUGGAACCAGAACAGUUUUGGUUGCAUGUUCCGGUAUCUCUCUAUCCUCUAAGUUUAUUUUCGAAGAUUUUCUUCAUUGAGUAGUCUCUAAUUCUAAGGUGGAUUUUCUGUUGCAGUACGAUGCAUUUUAUAACGAGCACAAAAUCAGUCCAGCAGCAUAUGUACAAAACUUUAUCAGUGGAUGGAGAGGCAACACAAAUGUCAAUUUCAUCUCAUCUCCUGAGAUUGGUUUCUUGAAAACAAUAGGUGGGAAGGUGGACAAAACCAAGACCAAGCUCAUUUUUGAGUUCCUAAGCCCCAAUGAGACUGAACCAACAACCAGGCAAAACUACGGUGCAUUGCUCAAGAAUCUUGGAAUGAUCAAGUCACUUGCAGCUGGGAUCCUUGUUCCAAAAGAAUUCAUAUAUCCGAUUACCUCAAAUAAUUACUUGGAUGCUCCCACUACUCUGGUGGCAGAUGCUCACAAACAAGGGCUGGAAGUAUACGCGACAGGCUUUGCAAACGACAUUCCACUCCCUUACAACUAUAGUAUGGAUGCAACAGCAGAAAUCCAACAGUUUGUAGAUAAUAAUGAUCAGUUUUCUGUUGAUGGGGUGCUUACAGAAUUCCCAAGCACAGCAACAGAAGCCAUAGGUGAGACAUCAGACUGCUUAUUUCUAAUAGCACUUGCUUCACAUACCUAGGUUACACAAUCUCAUCAGAAAUCAAGUGCACGUAAAGUAUAGUCUAUAAAGACUAACACCUUGUAACAUUCCUGCUCUAACAACACGUCAUGAUCGACUUCCUGCUGCAGGAUGCUUUUCACAUAACAAGGAUGGAAAGCCUUACAAAGGUAAAGGGUCUAACUUUUGUUUGCCCCAAGCUUAUAGCUCAAGUGUUCGAGUGUUUUAAGUGCUGAGAUAAGUUUCUUGACAUUGCAGGAAGUCCAUUGAUCAUAAGUAAUAAUGGAGCGAGUGGGGACUACCCUGGUUGCACCGACCUUGCUUAUCAGCGCGCGAUAGAUGAUGGGGCUGACAUAAUUGAUUGCUCGGUCCAAAUGUCAAGUGAUGGAGUUGCCUUCUGCUUAGAUAGCAUAGAUCUCAACUCAGGCACCAAUGCAUUGACUCAAUUCAUGACCAGGAGUGAGACUGUCCCUGAACUUCAAUCUGAAACUGGAGUGUUCUCGCCCCGGCUCACAUGGGAAGAGAUUCAGUCCUUGAAACGUAAGCUUCCUAAAUUUUUACCUUUUAGAAGUACUUAUCCUUGUAUCUCCAACUAUAAUUUGUUGGGAUAAUUUCACCUAGCAAACUUCUGAUAAUCUCAUUGAGGGUCCAACUUUGUUAUUUCAGCCGAAUUGAAAAGCCCCUUUGGAAACAACCAAGGCCUGUAUAGAAACCCAGCUAACAAGGAUGCAGGAAAACUGGUGACUCUCACUGAAUUCCUAGAGUUGGCCAAGAAUAAGGCAACUACUGGAAUUUUGAUCAACAUUCGGGUAAGCAUUUCGAGACAUUUCAGUCUUGUUCUCAUUGUUGCACUACAAUGUUUGAUCUGAACCAUAAAUAUAACCUAUGUUCUUCUCAGAAUGCGCCUUACCUAGCAUCAAAGGCCGGUCUGGACAUUGUUGGUACUGUAACCUCUGCCUUGAAAAAUGCCACACUCGACCAGCAAUCGACUCAAAAGAUCAUGAUCAAAUCAGAUGACACUUCAGUGCUGUCCAAAUUCGCUGAUGUGAAAACAUACGAAAGAGUGUUUAGCAUUGAGGAGAAAAUAGGUUCUAUACCAAAGGAAUCACUCGAAGAGAUCAAGAAGUUUGCAGAUGGAGUAACUGUCAACAGAGAUUCAGUUAUUAUGGCUAGAAAUUUUUUCACCCAAUAUGAAACUAGCGUCAUCAAGGACUUGAAGGCUGCCAAUCUUUCGGUGUACAUCCAUUUCCUGAGAAACGAAUUCAGCAGUCUCUGGCUUGAUUAUCUCUCAGACCCCAUAACCGAAAUAGCCACAUAUGCUAUGGGAUCAAAGGUUAAUGGAAUUAUGACUGAUUUCCCACGAACUGCUAGCAAAUAUAUAAGUAAGUCUUGCUGCUCAAGCUAACUUAUUUCACUUGUCUGCUUCCUCUUGUUACAUGAACCACGUACUCAACAAGUUUCAAAUUUUCCAGGAUGUCCAUGCACUGAUACCACAAACCCCAACCCAUAUCCGAUUUUCCCAGUUGAACCGGGAAAUCUCAUCAACACCUUGAUACCCCCGGAGAAAUUGUCACCCCCAGAGGCUCCCCUCCCACCACUUGAAGCUAAAACCGUAGCUGACCCACCACUUCCUCCAGUGGCACCCAAGCCCAACUCAGACUCCGAGUCAGGUUCAAACUCCGGCGACAAGCCUGCCACCGCCCCUGCACCUACCGCAAAAUCAAGUGCAAUGGCCAAUGCAGCAAACUGGGGUCUUUCUUUGCUAGCAAUAAUGGUGUUCAGCUUAUUGUCUAUGGGAAAUUAAGUGUGUGUGACUCUUUUGGUUGGUUUCUUGGUUCUGUUCUCUUUCCCCUAACCUAAUCUCAUAUGCUCCAUAAUUCUUCUGCACAUCAAAGGAAACAAAAAAAACCAAAACACAUUGCAUCAGUGUGUACAAUAUUAUUAGUCUAGUAAAUCUCUCUCUCUCUCUCUCUCGUUAUAGUAUACCAAAUCCUUGUUAACACUGGUAAUCUUUCCACACUCUAAUCAAAUCCAACAUUAUCAAAUGGUAAAAAAGAAAAACCCCUCAAAAGUUACCAAAUCCAUAUGUUUUUUACCACUAUUCAAAAGCAACACAAAUUUUGAGUGAGAUAAAAACGAGGGCGAGGGCGCGCGAGGCUCAGAUUCGCCUUUUGACGACGCUGAGAGAGAGAGAGAGUUGUAACGAAGCGAUUGGUUCAAAUUCGCCUUCUGUCAGACAAUAAAGGGCAAAGGCAGCUCCGCUUUGUAUCUCUCGCCGUUUAGCAUCUCUUUUUCUUCAUCUCUCUCUUGCAUAACGCGUCAAGACCUGAUCUCUCUAUCUCUCUCGAAUCUCUCCGGCUCUCUGUCUCUCCCGAAUCUCUCUGCUUCAAGAACUUGCUGUCGCGUCAAGACAGAGGUGAGAAUAUCGCUUACGUAGAAUAGAUGAAUAGAUCUGGUUGAAUAGAUCUCAGGAAAAACAAGUUUUUGAAAGAAACUGAAGUUCCAAUUAAUUUUACAACACACAAGGAACAAAAUGAAUCUGCAGUUGCUUAUGUGGAGUUCCAAGCUCAUAUUGAAUAUAAUGAUAUUGAUUUUGCUUGGGAGUGUGACGGACCAAAAUGAAUUAUUUAAGACUUUAUUACUUUUUCAAGUGAUGUGAAUCGUACACUGGAAAACAACCUGGAAGUAUCUUUGUGGGGAUAAAGGGGAAAGAUUCCUAGCCUGCAUUAAUUUUGGCACUUUGGUAAUCUCAAUAUGACAAUAUGCAUAAUCGAGAGUAUGCAUGAUUGAUAUGAUGAUAAUCCGAUAAUCUCAACUAUGUAAAUGCAUGAUUGAUAUGAUGAGAAUCCGAUAAUCUCAACUAGUCCUCAACUCAAGAGUCCUCGCUCGAAGGGCUCCCUUAUGGAAUUGAUUAUAGACACCGAGUUGUAAGACCAAUCUUAUUAAGCUGUUUGUUGGAUUUUGCAUCGAUUCUUAUCAGUAUUUUUUCUCCUUUUUGCAUGUUUGUUGGAAUCCAAACAUCUAGAUUCUCUUCCUUCUACUUGAUUGAAAGAUAUGUCUUUAUUUUUUCUUUUUAAUUUUGUUGUUCUGUUUUGGCAUUUGGGGUUUGAUUCUAUUGGUUGGAAUGAUAAAAGUCAUAAAACUAGAUGUAUGAUACCCUACGGUCCUUCAUUCUUAUCUUACUUAAAAAAUGAAGAAAUAUUAGGAAUUAACACAGCUUGCAUAUGGUACUACCCAUUAUCCCCUUUUGUUUUCGAAUUAGAAUCAUUAUUAUUGUUAUUCCUUAAUCUCAUUCUUCUCUGCAUCUGUUUCUGAGUGCGUCCAUUAAGAGAGAAAAAGAAUGACAUGGAGAAAUAGUUGGAUUCUGGAAAUCAAACAUACACCCGAACUUGAGAAGACGGGGAGCUCAUAUCUGGACACUUUUAUUUGAUUCUGUUGAUUGGAUGAUUGUCUUGGUGUCUGAUUUUCAAUUGUUUUAUGAUUUUGAAUUGGAUGAUUGUAUACAUAGGUAUAAGUAUGAUUGAGUAUCUUUAAAAGUUGGUUUCUUUUGGCAAUUGGUUCGCAUAUUUUAGUCAAUUCUUGACUUUGAUUGUUCUUCUUCUUUUCUGAUCAAUUUCUUUUGAUGUCUUCAGAUUCUGUGAUUGAUUGUUGUUCUUAGAAAGGACUCAAAGGAGAGUUCUAUCAAGCUCAGGAAAGGUAUUGCUUCUUCUUGCUCUGGGUAAUUGGUUUUCAAUGAUGAAUUACCGUUACCCUGUUUUAGUCUUAUGCAAAGUUAGAUUGUUUCAAUUUUUUGAGAAGCUUCCGCCAUGCUUGAUACUUAAUUAGAUUUGAAGUUUUCUUCUACUUUUGUUUACUGUAUAAACUAAAAGGUUAACUAUUUAUUAUAUGAUUUUGUAGGCAGGUUUUGGUUGUUGUUGCUGUGCAUGUUUGUGUCUGAUCUCUUAUAGGAUCUGCAUUUCAGGUUCAGCUUUGGUUUUUGGUUAUUUGGCUUGCUGCCUUCUGCAUUUUUGGCAACUGCUAUCACUUCCAUUAAAUUGGUACUCUUAGAUCAUCAGUAUAUUGUAUUAUUCUUUUCUGCAUCUAUAAUUUGUUGUUGCUAACUAUUCUAUUCUUAGUGUGGCUUAUUAACUAUUAUUUCUACAUAUCUUCAGGGCAUCUGAUUCUAGAACCAUGUCCAUGACCAUGAUCAAAUUCUAUUUGGGUAGAAAAAUUCUAUUUGGGUAGAAUUUAUCAAUUACAGAAGGCAAUUUGCCACAAACAUUACUAUAGAUGUUAAGGAUGAAAGCUGGUUGUCUUCUAUCGAUGUUUACUUUCGUGUGGCUGUUCAAUAGGGAAGUUAGCUCUGUGAUAAUGGAAUAGCUGGAUGCUCUACAAAGGUAUGUGCUUAGUCCCAUUCCAAUUGUUUAGCAAUGGUACCUGGAGAAUUUUAUUGCUGAAUAUUGUUCAUAAUUGUUGAUCUAAACCCUAAACCAAUUAAUUUACAAAUUUGUUGCAGGAAAACAGGGAUAAGAUGAUAUGAGAUUCAGAGUUUUAUACUGUAGACUAUGUUCAGACAUUCACAUGAUCAAAAAUGAUUGGGGAAUUUCUACCUUUCCUUUAGUACCUGGGUACGUUUAUGGUCGUACUGAUUUGAAGUUAUAUCAACAUCUCUUUUUAAGUGUUGUAUGGGGUUUACAAAGGGCUUUGGCAUUCGCUUGACAAACAAAAACAGAUGGCAUACACCAUAAUUGCAUUUUCAUCAGGAAUCUUGAUGCUUCUUUGAAAAAGAUAUAAGGAUUACAUAAAGGGUAAAAAUUUCAAGAAUCACAAAAUAGUAAUAAAAAAGUAAAACCAGAUGGAGAAACUAUUCCAUUGCUUUGUACCAAACAUGAUCUAUUUCAUCUGAGAAUCUCCAGGCAAUUACUUUCUUCACUUAUGCAGAUUUAUAAUGUUUGUGCUCCACUUUAUCAGUAUUCAUUUCACUGUUACUUUGCUUAGUAUAUACACAAUGCAAUUUUGAGGUUGAUUUGAAUUUGCAUACAAAGUCAAACAAUCUAAACUUUGGCUUGCUAAAAUCUUACUGCUGAUUAUACCCUGUUUUUAUUACUGGACAGACUGGAUCUGUAGAGCUACAACAAUAAUAUUCAUAACUGAAGAUCAUUGGUUCUAUCCACCAUGUCCUGUAUGAUCAUAACAAGGAAGAAGUAACAAAGUGAAACAUUAAUCUAUCUGCAGCAUGACAGUCAGCUGGCUAUUACAGGUAACAAAAAGCAAAAUUCACAUUACCGCCUAAAACAUUAAAAUCACUCAACUGAAUACUUCAUUGUUUGGUAAAUUUAUAAGUAAAUCAGUGCUUAACUUUUAAAUUUAGUACUGCCUCUGCCUACUGUAGAGAUGAGUUGAUAUUUUCUGAAUACUUCAUAUUUUGUGAGGCAUGUUAUACCUUAUGGUAUACGAAUUUUCCCACUUGUUAAAGUUGGAACCUAAAAUGCCUUGUUUUCUACUUGCUUGAGAAAGCAGAAAGCUUGUCCCUUGUUUUGAUUCCUUUCAUUCACCAUGGCUCUAUUUUACAAAACCAGAUGUGCAGAAUAAUUGUUGAAGUUUGUGCAUCCUUCACUCACCAAUCACCAUAGUCUUCUUCAAUCUUCAUUCACCAGUCACCACUCAGCUGAGAAACCCAGCAAAACUUUUGAGAUUUUCCACGGCUCUGUUCAUGGCUCUAUUCCGAGGUCACAAGCCCUUGCUUUUCAAAUAUACUACUUCUCCUUCUGGAUUUACUUAUGACAUGUUCUUGAGCUUUAGAGGGAAAGAUACUCGGAAGAAUUUUACUGGUCACCUCUACACUGCCUUGGUCAACGCCGGAUAUCGUACUUUCCUGGAUGACCCUGAACUUGAGAGAGGGGAAAAUAUCAAGGAAAAGCUUGAGAAUGCCAUUCAACAGUCUCGGAGUUCUGUGAUUGUGUUUUCAGAAGACUACACCUCUUCCAGAUGGUGUCUGGACGAGCUUGUAAUGAUCCUUGAACGCAAGAGGACCUCUGAUCAUGCCGUGUUACCGGUCUUCUACAAAGUUGAUCCAUCUGAAGUGAGGAAGCAGGCAAAAAGUCUUGCCGGUGUUCGUAAAUACCAUGAAAUUCAAUCCUCGGAGAAGUUGAAUGAAUGGCGGGCAGCACUUGGGGAAGUGGCAGAUCUAGCAGGCAUGGUCUCAGAAAAUGAAGCCGAUGGGUAUGCAUGCAGAAUAUACAUUUUCGAUUAAUUACAACUGUUAGAACAUACAGAUAUAAGUCAUCAAAUUAUUUCUGUAUCAAAUCCUUUAAUUCAUAGACUUCAGUGGCAUAUCUAAUACAUAUUUCCUUUCGUUUGAUCGGAUACUGCGCUGUCUAGAUCUCAUUGUGGCAUAGCUAAUAUAUAUUUGCUUUCGUUUGCAAUUUACAAGGCACGAGGCAAAGUUCAUCCAAAAAAUUGUUGCAGUGAUUCAAAAGAAGCUACCUCUUGUCAGUCAUGUGCCCCUCAUCCAUGUCCAGAAGGAAUUAGAGGAUAAGUUAUUAUCUGUUAACCCUGUUCUUGAUGUUGCCGAGGGGAAGCAAUUGCAAUUCCAAACAAGUGUGAAGCCAUGGCUCCAUAAGCUUAAAGAAGUUGUCUACGAGGCUGAGGACCUGUUGCAGGAGAUAAAUACAGAAGUUCUGAGGCAAAAGUUGGAACCUGAAUCUGGAAGUAGUAAGAGUCAUGGACAAGAGCUCAUCUCUAGUCCUCCAUCUAAUGCUUUUGACUCGGCUUUUAUACACCCAAAGGUAGAGGAGAUUCUUAACAGACUAGACUGCAUUAUGGAGGGGAGAAGACUUGUCUUGGGUAUGGAAGCAAGUGCUGGAUACCGGGUAUCACAAACAAUAUCUUCAACUUCUUUGGUAGAAGAGUGUGUGUACGAAAGAGAUGAGGAAAAGGAGACACUUGUUAGAUUGUUGGUAUCAGAUGAUGAGAGUGGCGAUAAGAUAGGUGUGAUUCCUAUUGUGGGCAUGGGUGGGAUUGGGAAAACCACCCUUGCUCAGUUUCUAUACAAUGAUGUUACAGUCAGACAACAUUUUGACCUCCAAGCAUGGGUUUGCGUUUCAAAAGAGUUUGAUGUUCUGAGGAUUUCACAACACAUUUAUGAGUCACUCACCUCUAAAGCUUGCCAAAUCACAAACCUUGCUCUGCUUCAAUCAAAGUUGAAGGCAACUGUGAUGGGGAAAAGGUUCUUCUUUGUUCUUGAUGACAUAUGGAACAGGAAUUAUAACCAGUUGGAAUCCUUAAAGCGUCCCCUCGAGUCUGGAGCACAUGGAAGUAAGAUUAUUGUCACUACACGCAAUGAGGAUGUUGCAAGUAUGAUGGGUACUCUUUCACCUCAACCGGACUGUCUAAAGCCAAUAUCUGAGGAAGAUGGCUGGUUGUUAUUUGAAAAACAUGCCUUCAGAAGUAGAGGAGUUUGUGGACAAUCACAGCUUGAAGAGAUAGGAAGACAAAUUGUCAGAAAGUGUAAUGGCCUUCCGUUGGCCCUUAAAUCCCUUGGGGGUCUCUUAUGUUCUAAACUACAGUCUGAUGAAUGGGAAAGCAUAUUGGACAGUGAGAUGUGGGAAUUGCCACAGGAGGAGAGUGACAUUCUGCCGUCGCUUUGGUUGAGCUAUGUGCAUUUGCCUCCACAUCUCAAGCGCUGUUUUAGCUACUGUUCGAUAUUUCCCAAAAACUAUCGACUACAAAAAUCAGAGCUGGUUUCCUUGUGGAAGGCCCAAGGUUUCUUGCAACCCAAAAAGAAGAAAAUAGAAGAAAAAAUUGGGGAAGAGUACUUCAAUGAUCUAAUCUCAAGGUCAUUUUUCCAGCGUUCAACAAGUUCUGAACACUUUAUCAUGCAUGACCUUAUCAAUGAUCUAGCAAACUUUGUAUCUGGAGAAUUUUGUGUCAGACGGGAGGACAGUGAAUUACCCAACAUAUUGAGGAAGACUCGUCAUUUCUCAUAUAUUGAGACAAAUGGUGAUAGCUUUGCAAAACUUGAAGCUAUGCAAAACUUGAAGCUAUACGUGAAGCUAAAUAUUUGCGCACUCUUCUACCUCUACCUAAAUAUCGAUUCUAUCUGGGGACUUUCUAUAAAAUGGAAUUCCAAGAAGUACUAUAUGAGGUAUUGCCAAAACUACAAUGUUUAAGAGUGUUGAAUUUAUCAAUGUAUAACAUUGAGGAACUGCCUGAUGCGAUUAACAACUUGAAACAUCUCAGGCACCUGGACAUGUCUGAAACUACCAUCAGAAAGUUACCUGAUACUAUUUGUACUUUGUAUAAUUUGCAAACAUUACUGUUGUGCAAGUGUCAACGUCUUACAGCACUGCCAAGCAACCUGGGACGAUUGAUCUACUUGAGCCAUCUGGAUAUUGAAGGUACAAAGAUAGAAAAGAUGCCACCACGUAUGGGCGAUCUCAAGGAUCUGCAGAUGUUAACCGAUUUUGUGCUGGACAAGUAUACCGACGACCAUAAUUCUUUAGAGCUCAAGAAGCUUCAAAAAUUACAUGGAACGCUUUGUAUUUCAGGGCUUUCGAAAGUUGUAAAUGGCAGGGCUUUGGUGGCUGACAUUGUGAGGGACAAAGAGUUUCUUAUUGGAUUAAUUUUGAAAUGGGAUUAUAUUUGUCACAAAGACGAUAUGGUGAAACAAAUAGAAGCGCUUGAGAAGCUCCAACCUCACCUGAACCUGGAGAGGCUUACAAUAAGUGGUUAUGGAGGCCAGGUGUUUCCAGGUUGGUCAGGAUAUUAUUUUUCCUCUGCUCUUGUUUAUCUUCAUCUUGUUGAUUGUGUGAAUUGUAUCGCCUUGCCACCAUUGGGACAGUUACCUUCCCUCAGUGAGCUUCAUAUUUGUGGGGUACGCGAAGUGGUGUCCAUAGGUUCUGAAUUCUAUUAUGGUGAUGGCAAUUGUGUGAAUAAACCAUUUAGAUGUCUACGCUCUUUAAAAUUUGAAAACAUGGGAGGGUGGAAAGAAUGGUGUUAUGUUGGAGGCGACGAUAAUGAAGGUGGUGUUUUUCCUGAACUUGUUCAACUUCAUAUAUCAGCCUGUCCCAUUCUUACUGGGAGAUUAGCAUUAGACAGUUUCCCGAUGCUGAAAGAGGUCGACUUGAAGAAUACUGAACUAUCAUCACUAGUCACUAGUUCACCGGACUCUAAACUCUUAAACCUGGAAAGCUUGCUGUUAAAGUGGUGUCCGAAUAUUGUAUCUUUUCCUGAUGGAGGGUUGAAUGCCCAAGUUAAGGACUCUAAAGAUAGUGGAAUGUGAGAACUUGAGUUCAUGGCCGGAACAAAUGCCCUCCCUUCUCCCAUCUCUUGUUGAUUUGGAGGUAAACAGCUGCGGAGAAUUGGAAUGUAAUCCAGAAGGGGGAUUCCCCUCACUGUUAGAAUCACUUGUCAUGGGGCAAUGUAAAAUGCUGCAUGUAGAUAGAGUGCAGAAUCUGAAUAAUGCUCUCCGGAGACUCACCUCUCUUGAAAGAUUGGAAAUUGACUUCAACUGGUUUUGGUUUUGCCGGUGGCCCAGCACCAUCUGUUAUCUCCACAUCUUCGGUAUGAAUAGUGAGACUAUUGGCGCCAAAUGGUUUGACCCUCUCAACUCUCUUAAAAAAUUGGAGAUUGGAAGUUGCCCUGUGCUCCGGUGCUUGCCAGAUAGUAGGCUACCCGCUUCUCUGAAAAUCUUGGUGAUUAAAUUUUGCCCUGCGUUGCGGUGCUUGCCAGAUUGUAGACUACCUGAUGCUCUUGCUAGUCUAGAAAUCCAUGGAUGUCCUUUGCUUCACAGACGGUGCCAAAGAGGGGCGGGCGAAGAUUGGCCCAAGAUAGCCCACGUCUCCCACAUAUGGCUCAAUGAUAAUUAUAUUUAAUUAGUGUAAGGUUUAGUUUGGUAAAUUAAACUAUGACACAUGAUAGACAUAGAAUAAAUUGUCUUUAUUUGUUAAAAGAUGUUUUUAUUUGUUUCAUAACAAUAUAAGUGGAUUUAUUUGUGUUUCAAAUCUUUACUAAAAAGAUUUGUUCAUUGGAAUGAGCAAUGAAGAGUUAAAAUUCAUACUAAAUGAGCAUUUUUCCUUCUUUCUACUCAUCGAAAAAAAAAUGGCAGAGGCAGAGAGGUUGAGAUACUCAAGCCCUGUACAGUUCCUAAUGGUAGUAGGAACUUGGGAUUAAUUGAAAAUUAUCGGAGAGGUCCAACUUCUGAAGAUGAACUAGACGGACAAGGGGGUUGCUGGAGUUACUGAGAUGAAGGGCAAUGAUAUGACCAGUCUGUACAUCAUGGCAAGAAUACGAGUGUACAAGAUAGUUCCUCCAGCUAUGUGAGAGGCCCCAGGUAAAUCAUUGAAAUGACACAAACAACAUAGACACCUCUCAUGACCUCCAUACCUGCUGCAUAUAAAAUUAUAAAGAACAGAGAAGAAAGAUCAGAUCAAUUGGCAUUUCAACACUGUUAACUUUUCUUUUUAUUAGUCAGACAGAUAUGCAUCAAUUGACUGACCUUGAAGCUGGAAAGAAUCUCUAGUUAGGGGCGUUCUGGUACUUAAACUAAUGAGCGUCUGAAACCCUCAGGGCUCUUAUAUACUGCCCUGGAGGGGUGUUUCAGUCAAUGCACUUAGAGCUGGAAACGCAAGGCCAUUUUUGGUCAUAUAAUAGAAUUCAAGUACAAUGUGACUGCAAUUAGUGUUUGUGUGUGUAAAUAAGAACAGGUAAAAGAAUCAAAAGUCUGAACGAUCAAGCAUGUCUACCAAGGUCAUUCUCCUUGGGAACCUAGCUGGCAGUCUCAGGUAUGUCACGUCUUCGAUCUCGACAAGCAGAUGUGUUGCCACAAUGACAAUGCCGCCUUUCUUUCUAUGCUCUGCAAUGAUGUACUCGAGCAGCUUCACUCCGUCAGUGUCCAAUGCGACAGAGGGCUCGUCAAGCAACCAGAUAGGCCUGUCGAUUGCUAGCAACCUCGCGAGCUGGAGUCUCUUCCGCUGCCCCAUUGAGAGCAUUCUCACCUUCUCUUUGGCCAAUCUGCCGAGGCCCAUCAGCUCCAGAGCAGGCAGGGAAUUCCCCAUCUUGCCUUCGAGGACUUCAAACCACUGGACAUUGUCAAGGACUGUGAACUUCUCUUUGACUGCGUCUUUGAGUGAGAGCCAGUUGAGCUGGAGCUUGUACUGGUGGAAGACUCCUGAAUCUGUGAUGUCAUGCCCAUUCCAGAGGACCUGGCCAGCAGAAGGCUUAGAAAAGCCAGCUAACAUGCGCAGGAAGGUAGUCUUGCCCGAGCCAUUGGUGCCCAUCAGCACAAGUGCUCCACCAUCAUGAACUGUGGCAUUUACAUGACGCAAGAUCUGCUGAGCAUUCCUCAUACAAGAGACAUUGUUGAGGAGACGACAAGGAAGCGGUGGCUUUCGCAAAGACAUCACAGUCUAUCAAACUCAAAAACUAUCAAUGAUGUUUUAAGUCCACCCAACAGAACCACUGCAGGAGUAACAGAUUACUGUGGCAAGGAAAUUCUGUUACAAAGUUAUGAACUGAGUUAAUUUCAACUUAUAAUAAGCAGAAACAGCAUGAUGAAUAAAACGCAAACAUCAUAGGAUAAAGGCACUAUUGGUAAGAAAAGCAUAGAAUGGAAUGCAUCAAGUUCAGGGAAAAAGAAACAUAUAAUGCACGAUCACUCAUGUCAUAGAACCCAAAUGGCUUUCUUUUCGAAUUCACAAUCAUAUAUAAACUAUUAUCGUAAAGCACAAGCAAAGAUCAUAGAAGAUCACAGCCCCACCCAAAUACGAAAUAGAUGAAGAUUGGUCCAAUGAGGCAUUUCGUCGAACAGUUAUGUGCAUUAUUCUAACUAAAAUAACCGAAAGGGAAGUAAUCAAAAUAAGCUCCCAGCAAGUUAGUAUGAAGCUCAAUUACCAGUAAAAUUGCAAACACUCCUGAUUGAACAUCAAUCUCAAACACGCUAACAAGUUAAUAUGUGUGCUUGGGUUGGACCUGCUUGUGUUUGUGUGUCACUGAGUCACUUUCGUGAGGCGGGAAGUAUACGAAGAAAGGUUUAGUUGUCCGUCACCAACACGCACUGCUAUUAGGGCUUCACGUAUUAUACAAGAGUCAAAUGCAAAACCACCAACACAUUCAUAAACUGAAGCUGAAACUUACCUCCGUGCCCUCAAAUAGCACUCUAGCCAAAACAGGUAAGUAGGAGGUUCAACAAUCAAAAAAUUUAUACAUAAGUAAGCCGGCUUUAUCAAUAUUUCAAGUCAGCAUUUGACUAAUGAUUUAUUUCACUAACAAAGUUAGAAACAUGAUACACUCUUUCUGUUUUGCAUUAAUGUACCUCAACAACAAACCUAAGUGUAAACAAAUAAGCCUUCCCUAAAGUAGCCGAUUUCUGAACUUCAAUUUCUUCUCAGAUAACUAUCCGAUAUUCAAGAGUCACACUGAUCGACCGAUAUUACAGAUAGAGAUGGAUAGUUCAUGAUAUAUACCUUGUCAACACCUUGGUUACAAGCAUAUACCAACGCGUCUGCCAAAGUCAGUCUGCCUUCAGCAUCAGUGUUAUCGACCUGCAAGCAUAAAUUGAAGCAAACACAACAUUUUAGUGCUUGCAAUGCUUGUAGUGCUUGUAGUACCACCACUGUUAACCUUGCAUCAUUAAUAUGAUGGGAAUUUCUGAUAACCAUACCUCAAUGGUCUUUCCAUUGGAAGCUGUCACAAUGUCUCCAGGCCUCAUACAGUCAUACCUGUUCCACUUAUCAUAUUCUCACAAGCUGCAACAAUGAAAUGAACCUGCACGACAAGACCAAUUAUUAAUCCAUAUGUUGCACACUAAUCAUUAAAAACUGAAAAUUUGAGGAACAAAACGUUGCAAUAGGUCGAGUAUGCUUUUCCCAACAGCAGAAACACAACAAAAAGAGUGAUUUACGUACCUCUACACCAGAUGGUUUGAUUUGACCGAUGGCUUUUGCUGCACCUAAUACAGCUGCUGAACCUCCCAUAUCAAAUAUCAUAAGCUCAAUUGAACAGCCAGGCCCGGUCUUGAUGUUGUAGCCGCCACUGAAAACAUAAAAGAUAGGAAACAAUUAAGCCCGAGUGCCGAAAAUUUAAACUUUUAUUCCAAAAAGUACCAAACCACUUAAAGGCAUUCACAACUAGAGUUCGUUACUUCGUUUGCCACAUUCCUUGCUCAUCUAAUAAGCCCUUGGUUGUGUUUUUACUUCUUCUAUUGCUUGCUUUUCUGUGAAAGAACAGGAGUUUCUGUCUCCAUCUUUCAACCACGUGAUUCUUGAUCUCUGCCUCCAGUAUUUCUCUUGCGCAGCUAGAAGCCUGUUAAGAGAGCUGUGAAGUGCUUUCUGUUCCUCAUAUUGUUGACUUGAACAAGUGGCUCUCAUAAUAUCGUUCAGUUUUUCCUGAACAAUUCUGAGCUCAGAUCGCUGUUUAUCAAAGUCACUACGAUGCCAUUGCAUGAGCCGGCAUGCUUAAUCUUGCCGCCAAUCUGCUAAACAUGUUUCCAGUAGUAGGCCUUGCCCAUUCUUGUAUAAGAAACGAGGCAUUAGAGGCAAGAACGCAAAAGACACGUGUGUUUGGGCAUUUGGUUUAUGUAAAUGUCACUUUGUCUUCGAGUUUUAUUCCAAUGGAGUUUGAUUCUAUCAUUUCCCGUAAUCGACACAUCUCAAACUAAACUGCGUAUUUGCUUGUGUUAUCGUAUGAGAUUGAGACCGACUCACCAACAAGUGAACGUUAGUAACAAUACCCCAAUGACCCAAUCUCUUAUGAAGAAGCAGUUUGAACACAUGCAACCAACUUGAGAAGCAUAACGUACUAGUCUUACUCUUCAUAACAGAUAGACAACAGAGAAUGAAACAACUUAAACAAGUCAAUAAUAACAAGUAUUGCCGUAAUCUAAAGACAAAGAGUAGGUAUGUGUGGAAAUGUCCUCAUAAAACAUCCUUACGGAAAAAAAAUAAAAUAAAAAUUCUCCUAAUAGCACUGGGUGUAGCGUCUUUGCUUCAAGCAAGAGUACAAGACGGUCAUGCUCUUAACCCCGGAUACUUCCGCAUCAUCUCUCUGUGGCGGUCAAGAUCUUUUUUAGUGAACCAUUCACAGAAGAAACCCGGUUCCGAUCGCGACUCUGGCUCGGGGUUUGUCUCUGAAGUUGUUUCUCCUCUUCUUGAUUUUAAGUCCUUGACAUCCCUUUGUUUACAGGGCCUUGAGGGCAACAAAGGGCCGUCGUAAUAGAGGCACUUUAAGUUGCAGUAGCGGGUGGUGUACAACUUGCCACAGUUCCCACACAUCUUCGGCUGGUUUUCCCCUGUUUGUGGUGGGCUGCUGCUUCUAAUUCCACCUCUUAAUGGCUUUGGUUCUUCUUCUUCUUCUUUGUGGAUCCGACCUGUUUGUUUGUGGUUCAAUUGUUAUAUACCAAACAUCAAAAGAAUGAACAAGGCCAAGCACAUUUACUUCACUCAUCACACACAAAGCUGUCAUAAAAAAAACCAAUAGAAUUGUUCAUAGAUCCGAUGAUCAACUAACCUAGCUAUUAUAAGGAAUAUGCAAACCUAGCUGCAGAUAUCCAUAAAGAAACGCACCAUGUAAAUGUACAAAUACAAACAUAUGUUCAAUACGCUAUCUGUAUAUCUAUUGCUGCCAUGUAUUAGGAACAAACAUACAAACUCAGAGAAUUCUACCUGUCGUAAUAAAUCAACAAAUUCGGUAAACACAAACCAAAUUUUAAUAUUUCCAACAUAAACACAGACUUACUUUCAUGCAAAUAUCUGGAAGGGAAAAGAAAAGGAAUCAAACGACUCUUCUAGAUCGAUAACAGGAUGAACCCUAAAACAGUAAAAGAAAUAUAUACCAGUUGGAGCCAAAGGACGAUCUUCUUCCGGUUGGUGGUAGUCGGAGCCUAGUUUCGUGGUCAUGCCUGUCGACGGUGUCAAAGAGGAAUUUAGCUUUUGGAUUUCCAUCUUUCAAGUUUGUGUAACUUCUGUCAGAACGAUUAUUUUGAUGAACAAGGGGAUGGGUCCUAUAUAUAUUGACGUUCCGUUUUGCUUUUGGAAUCCCUGAUUUCAUAAGCUAAAUUAGGAAAAGAAUAAUACCUAUAUUUAUUGUCGGUUUUGUUUUGGAAUCAAUUUGGGCUUUGGUGGCCCAGAUCAAAUGCCAAUUACAAGUUUGCUUAGUUGCCCAUUUUUAAAUUUUUAUACUAGUAAAAAUAAUAAUAAUAUCUUUAUGAUUUAGCUGAAAAUUUAUAGGGUUGAUCUACAUAUAUAAAUUUAAAAACUGAAUGGAUGAGAUGCCAAAACGUGAUCGAAAAAUAGAUCUUUCAAACAAGAAACCGAAAACUCAUCAAGUAGUCCUUAACUUAAAAGUCGUUACUAGAAGGGCUCACUUAAACGUAUUAGACAAAUUAUUUCUAAACUAACUAGGAAUUGAAAAAAGUUAUAUGAAUUUGCUCUACAACAUUAGGUAAUUAUUUCUAGACUAACUAGGAAUUGAAAAAACUUUAGGCAAAAUUGCUCCUACAAACAUUAGGUAAGUUGAACCCCAUACGUGAUUUCUUAAGUUAAACCUUUCCCUCGUGCCUCUCGUUCUCCAUUCAUGUACUAUUUCAUUAUUAGACAAAUUAUUUCUAGCUAGAUCUAGCUAGAUUGACUAGGAAUUGAAAAGGCUCCUACAACAAUUAGGUAAACCCUUAUGCGCACUUUCUCCUACAACAAUCAGGUAAUUAAGUUGUUGUAUAAAUAUGGGUACACACACUAAUAAGUUUUAUCUCGUCCCUCGUUCUUUAUUAUGAUGUCUUGACGGAGUAGUGAAAAUAAGUUGCAAGGAAGCCAAAGAAGUACGAUGAAGUUCUACAAGGGGACAACCACUCUUGCCUUUAAAUACAAGCAUGGCAUUGCUAUUGCCGCUGAAUCCAGACUUACAACCGUGGAGAUUAAAGGAUUAUAUGCUACCCUAAAAGCUAUAUGUAAGUUACACACUUUUUUCUUCAAUAAUCAAGAUGAGAACCUGUGUGUUUAGGUCGUUGUGUUUAUAUAGAAUCUAAUAAAAUGUAUUUAUAUUUUCAGUAAAAGAUGAGGAGACUAAAGUUUUACCAUUGAACUCCGAGAAAAACGUAGUAUGUACACUUACGGGGAAUUUUGAAUAUUGGUAUAAGAUGUACAAUGAUAUAGCGACGAAGGUAACUAGUUAGCACCUAUAACUAUCCUUGUUUCUUUUUGUUUUGUUUUGAUUUUGUAAAAAAAGUGAGCGAAACUAAGCAUACAUGUUUGAAAUAACAUGUUUGUAUACACAGGCGCCUGCACCUAUAUCAUCAGCUGAAGAUGCUGCGGAAAAAGCAUACACGCAUAUGAAAGAAAUAAGCCACGAGGAUUUGGAAGAUUACAAGCAGAACUAUCGUCAAGAGUUGCAGUUUGGAACCAUAAUUGCCGGAUGCAAACAAGUAACGAAUGGUUUUUUUUUGUCAUUAGAACUUUUUAUUUGUCUAAAUCUCUGAUGAUUAAAACUGAUUUUUGUUAUAAAUUAAUUGGGCGUAGGGUCUUCAACUACAUUGCUUGAGACUAGACGAGGAAAAUAAUGUUGCAAAACAUGAGUUAAAUGUUGGAGCACUAGGAUCUGGUGCUAGAUAUGCUAUGUGGGUUCUGCUGGACGGGUAUAUUUCUUUUUGUUUUGGUGAAAUAUAUUGACAAACUACGUACACUUGUAUUGUAUAUUCCCUGUACUAACCAAAUUUUCUUAAUUACGACAGUCACCCUUUUGAUUCCUAUGGUGAAACCAAAGACUUAACAGAGCAAGAAGCUAUUGACUUAGCCAUGAAAGCUGCAUUCUGUGCAACCGUGUUUGAUCCAUUUAGUGGUGGAUAUAUUAGGGGUACAGUACUCUCUCUCUCUCUCUCUCUCUCUAGCUGUUACAGUUUUACCAGUGUUGGUUAAUGUUAUCCAUCUCGUUUCUCACAUUUACUUUGGUUUUUUCUUUUCUUUUUUGCUGUUGCAUUGGAUCAGUAUAUCUCAUGGAUGAAACAAACGAGGUCGGAUGCCGUGAAGUCGCAUGUGAAAACCCGUUGGAUGUUUACUACGCAAAUUACAAUCUCUACGACAUGGAUGAAUGCACGAUUUUCUUGCUGUACUCUACAAAAAUCAAACCAUAUUUUGCGGAAGAUGAGCUCAAUGACCUCAUGGGCGCGCUCUGGUAUAAACUCACAAAUAGUUUAACAAGUGUGUGCUGUGUGCGUGUGUUUAUAUUAUCAUUAAGUUUAUUUGCUGUUUUAACUUUUGCAGGCCAACAUGGGAAAACAAGAAGGAUCAUAUCUAUGCAAACCAUUUGGUAGCAAUGAAACGAGACUUCUAUUUCCAUCGAAUCGUGAUGAGCUCAAGAGAAGUGGCGAAAAAGGCUUAUGAUCUUAUCAACAGAGAAUUAGCUCCCCAGCGUGAUCCUGUGGCUCUAGGAGGAGAGUUUCUAGCUUGCGAAAUAGAGUUGGACCCUGAUGAUUAUAUCACUAUUUAUGUUGAGAAAAGCUCCAAGAAUUUGUUGCAAAUCAUACGCGAUUUAGAAACUCCAGACAAUUUAGACUACUCCUAGUUAGGUCUAGGGAUGACAAUAAUCUCCAGCGGGUAGGGUACCCACGGAUAUUCAACCCUAACGGGGAAGAUAUACGAGGAUAAACGGGUGACGAGUAUGGGGAUCCUCAGUAUUCGGAUUUUUGAAUCGGGUACGGGGCGGGUAUGAUAUUUUGAUAUUCGUCCCCGUCCCCAUCCCCACCCAUUUAGCAUGGAAAUUAAUAUUGUUUUAUAUAUAUAUUAUUUAUAUAGAAAAUUUCAUAUAAGUGUACCUUGAGACAUUUUCUUCCGUAUAAGUCCACAUCAACAUUUUUACCCAUACAAGUCCACUUUGCAGGCUCAAUUUUUUUUAUCAUGACUAUCUUACCCUUAUUUUUCAAAAUAUCUCAUAUCUCUCUCCUCUGUUUCUCACGUCUCACCCAUUCAUUUGGUUCUCUCUCUCUCUCNNNNNNNNNNNNNNNNNNNNCUCUCUCUUCUCUCUCUCUCUCUCUCUUCUCUCUCUCUCUCUCUCUCUCUCUCUCUCUCUCUCUCUCUCUCUCUCUCUCUCUCUCUCUCUCUCUCUUCGUUACAAACCAGAUCUGAUCCAUCAUCGAUUCAACCUCUUGACAAAGCCGCCUCCUCGCUGAUUCAACGUCGUCGGAGCUUCGUCGCACCUCUCCCGCCGACUCUUUCACCUGAGACUCGCGUUUUUUGAGCAGUUGCCGACCUACAGGAGAUUUUGGAGGAGUUACACCGCGGCGACGCCUCGACUCCUCUCCGGAUACCACAGCUCAGCAAGCCGACGCCUUGACUCCAGAAACCGCACCGACGCCUCGACUUCGGUGCAAGGGGACGGGCGAAGAUUUAUGUUCUCCGAUCUACUCUCGGUUACCACCCAGCGAAGCCAGCCACUACGUCUCUAGAAGCCGCAUGAAGUCACCGGAGACUCUUGCCGGAGGUCGCCGGAGACGUUGCUACAAAGGAGGUUGUCAGAGGUGAGAGUGGGUUUUGGUGGAGGUGAGAGUUGGUUUCAGUGGAGGUGUGUAGUUUUUGAUAUGUUUGGUAGUAGGUUUUGGUGGAGGUGAGAGUAGGUUUUGGUGGUGGUGAGAGUAGGUUUCAGUGGAGGUGAGUGUAGUUUUUGAUGUGUUUGGUAGUAGGUUUUGAUGGUGGUGAGAGUAGGUUUUGGUGCUUGGUAUCGAUAGUAGCUUUUGUUGCUGUCGAUAGUAGCUUAGCUUUUGUUGCUACAGGUAGUAGCUUUUGAUGGUGGUGAGAGUAGGUUUUGAUGUGUUUGGUAGUAGGUUUUGAUGGUGGUGAGAGUAGGUUUUGGUGCUUGGUAUCGAUAGUAGCUUUUGUUGCUAUCAAUAGUAGCUUUUGUUGCUAUCAAUAGUAGCUUUUGUUGCUACAUGUAGUAGCUUUGUUGUUGGUAGUAAUAACUUUUUUGUUUGAGGUAAUAGAUUUUGUUGUUGCCAGUAGUAGGUUUUGUUGUUGGCAGUAGUAGCUUUUGUUGUUGGCAGUAGUAGCGUUUGUUUGUGACGAUAGUAUCUUUUGUUGAUAAUGGUAGUAUCUUUUCUUGCUGGCAGUAAUAGCUUUUGUUGUUCGCUGUUGUAACUUUUGUAGCUAGGGAUAGUAACUUUUGUUGUUGACGAUAGUAGUCUUUGUAGUCGGCAGUAGUAGCUUUUCUUGCUAGGGAUAAUAGCUUUUCUUGCCGGCGGUAAUAGUUUUUCUUGCUGGCGGUAAUAGUUUUUCUUGCUGGCGGUAGUAGCUUUUGUAGUCGGUGGUAGUGGUAGUAGCUUUUGUAGUCGGUGGUAGUAACUUUUCUAGCAGGCGGAAGUAGCUUGUCUUGCUGGCAAUAGUAGCUUUUCUUGCUGGCGAUAGUAGUUUUUUUUGUUGACGGUAGUAGCUUUUGUAGUCGGGGGUAGUAGCUUUUCUAGCUAGGGAUAGUAGUUUUUCUUGCUUGCAGUAGUAGUUUUUCUUGCUAGCGGUAAUAGCUUUCGUAAUCGUCAGAAACCUCGCCGGAAGUCGGCUGGAGACAUCACCGGAGUUCGUUGGAGACCUCACCGGAGAUCUGCCGGAGACUUUUCUGGGGAGGAGAGUGGUUGUUGAUUUUUUACAAUUAUGGCAUUUUUGUAAAUAUAAGAGAGAAAAUCUAAUUUUUUUAGUUGGAUGUCAGUUUGUAAUUUAGUUGAACUUCAAUACCUUUAUUUAAGCUUGGGCGGACUUAUGUGUGUAAAAAUGUUUAGGUGGACCUCUAUAGGAGAAAAUGUCUCAAAGUGGACUUCUAUGUAAUUGGCCCUUAUUUAUACAUAGAUAUUUAUGUAAAAUCUUUUGUAAUAUUUUUUUUACUAUGAUUCUCUUAAUGAAUAUUCAUAAAAACUUCAUUUUUAACCGAGACUUAUAUUCGUUUUUGUUGGAUUGAAUCAAGAAACUUAUUUAUAUAUGUAUUUGAUUUUAUUUUUAUAUUUCUAUAUUUCAUAAUUAUUGUUAAAAAAUUAAUUAUUACAUAAUUGUUAACGGGGAUCAUGACGGGUAUGGGAACGUACGUAAUCCCCAAAAGGGACGGGUACGGGGAAUACUCAUUAUCUAAUUACGGGGAAUGAGACAGGUAUGAGAAUAAGGAAUAAAAAAUGGUACGUGUAUGAUAUUUUGAUACCCUGACCCUACCUUACCCUUUUGCCAUCUCUAGUUAGGUCAAACUUGGUUUGGAGGUUGAAAUUUAUUAAUUUCAUGUUUUGUUUUGGACAACUCUCUUGAGGGGUGUUUUGGUCAAUGCACUUGGAGCUGGAAACGCAAGGCCAUUUUGGUCAUAUAAUAGAAUUCAAGUACAAUGUGACUGCAAUUAGUGUUUGUGACUUGGUGUGUGUAAACAAGAAUAGGUAAAAGAAUCAAAAGUCUGAACGAUCAAGCAUGUCUACCAAGGUCAUUCUCCUUGGGAACCUAGCUGGCAGUCUCAGGUAUGUCGCGUCUUCGAUCUCAAUAGGCAGAUGUGUUGCCACUAUGACAAUGCCGCCUUUCUUUCUAUGCUCUGCAAUGAUGUACUCGAGCAGCUUCACUCCGUCGGUGUCCAAUGCAACAGAGGGCUCGUCGAGCAACCAAAUAGGCCUGUCGAUUGCUAGCAACCUUGCGAGCUGGAGUCUCUUCCGCUGCCCCAUUGAGAGCAUUCUCGCCUUCUCUUUGGCCAAUCUGCCGAGGCCCAUCAGCUCCAGAGCAGGCAGGGAAUUCCCCAUCUUGCCUUCGAGGACUUCAAACCACUGGACAUUGUCGAGGACUGUGAACUUCUCUUUGACAGCGUCUUUGAGUGAGAGCCAGUUGAGCUGGAGCUUGUACUGGUGGAAAACUCCUGAAUCCGUGAUGUCAUGCCCGUUCCAGAGGACCUGGCCAGCAGAAGGCUUAGAAAAGCCAGCUAACAUGCGCAGGAAGGUACUCUUGCCCGAGCCAUUUGUGCCCAUCAGCACAAGUGCUCCACCAUCAUGUACUGUGGCAUUUACAUGACGCAAGAUCUGCUGAGCAUUCCUCAUACAAGAGACGUUGUUGAGGAGAAGACGAGGGAUCGGGGGCUUUCGCAAAGACAUUGCAGUCUAUCAACUGAUAAGAAGCAAAAGCAGCAUGAUGAAACGAAAAAUCGGUCAUAGAAUGGAAAGCAUAAAGUUUAGGAAAAACAAACAUAUAAUGCACGAAUCAUUCGUGUCAUAGAACACAAAUGGCUAAAACGUGAGCUAUUUCUUUUCGAAUUCACAAUCAUAUAUUAACUAUUAUCGCAAAGCGCAAGCAAAGAUCAUAGAAGGUCACAUCCCCACCCAGAUGCUCCAUAACACGAAAAUCAAGGCUAAAUACGAAAUAGAUGAAGAUUGGUCCAAUCAGGCAUUUCGUCAAACAGGUUAUGUGCGUUAUUCUACAGAGAUGAAUACUAAAAUAACCGAAAGGGAAGUAAUCAAAAUAAGCUCAGCAAGUUAAUAUGAACUCAAUUACCAGUAAAAUUGCAAACACUCCUGAUUGAACAUCAAUCUCAAACACGCUAACAACUUAACACUUUCUGGUUUUCCCUGACCGAGUUUGAAAAAUACGAUAGAAAUGUGAAACAUUACGAAUCCAACAAAUAACAGAAGCAAAUUAAACUUCAUAACCCAUCAACAACAAGAAACACAUUGUUCAUUCUGUAAAAUGAAAUUAACAAACAGGGUAGCGGCAGAGCUUUCAUACCAGAACAGGGUAGUAGUCCGUCACCAACACGCACUGCUAUUAGGGCUUCACGUAUUAUUCUUUUAUUAAGCCCAAACCCAAACGCUGCAAAUCCUGCAAUCAAGGAGCUGAGAUUAGAAUAUUGCAUUAACACAGAUGCACAUAAAUCUUUAUAUCUUAACCGAUCAUCACUCUUUGUUACGACACCAUGUAUACACGAAUUUUUGUUUUCUUAUGAGAGAAAAGUGAAAGUGAACUUUCGAUUUUUAACCUUCGCUUCUAACUCACUCUUCAUCGGUUAAUUUUUCUAGUUUAGACUGGCGUGAAAUGUCCCCAAAUUGGAUGAAGAUUGUCAUAACGUUCUACACUGUGUUGAUGAAUCUCUUGUAUCAAGCCUCAUAUUAUAGGUAGGCGAGACUCAAUUCAAUUUGAUCCAAGUCGUCUGUAAGUCUGUAACAAUAGGCCAGACACAUACAUAUAUUUUCAUUGAGAGCUUGAGUGCCCACUAGAAACACUCAAAACACCUCGAGGUACAAAUUUAUCGACAGAAAGAUUGGUAUCAACUCUUGACCACAAUAGUUGGUUAUCUCAACUGCUACCAUCAUCACUAUGUUCUUUUCAAACAUGCAGCAGAGUAUAGUAAUUUUUGCCACAAACUCCAGAAUAUUUACCACUAUUUUCCAAAUAAAGAUUGUUCUAACCCAUACUGAAGUGAGAAAAAAAGAAAUUGGGAAAGGGUAUUAUGGGAGGCUCAGAUUAGCACAUAUAGGCCAGACAAGGGAAAAAGGGAAGCCGCCGUGGCUGCAACCAAACACGGUUGCCGGCGAAAAUGACAAAAGCGUCAUUUCACCGGCCAUCCGGGGUCGCCUCGCCAGAACAAACGGCCCCCCCUAGAACCGCAAUGCCCCUAUUUCCCACACUCCGAAACUUCAUCGUCACAGCCUCGUUGGGUUUAGGGUUUAGAGAGAAAGAGAGAAAGAAAGAGAAGAGAUACAUAUAUACACACACACACAUACACAUUAUGUGUGACACAUUACAGAGAGAAAGAGAGAGAGAGAGUGUGGAGGGGCCGGAACUCAUCGGCUCCGGCGAUGACCUUGAGAGAUCGGCGGCGGAGCCUCGUUCUUUGAUCGGAGUGUGAUUGAAGACCUAAUUUUGGGGGAUAGCUACAUAUUUAUAGUCGCCUCACUCAGCCCUGUUGGGUUUAUUACCUCUUUGCCCCUCUUACAAAUUUAGUGGGUCGCAUAAGCGGACUGGGCCUGAGCGGGCUAGGCGGAGGUAUUAUUGGGCUAGGCGGAACCUACGAUGGUUGGGCCUAGGCAGGUUAAGCGGCCCACCUUCAAAACAAUUUAGCUAAAAAGCGGGUCUUGGAUUCUUCAAAGCAAUGACCUGCACUUGUUUUUCGAUGUGGUAAAGAAAAAAUACUACACGAAAAAAUGGUGGCAAGCUGAGUCUAUGAUCCACGGCUUGAAAAAAAUGGGGUAGAGGUUGGUUUUCUUCGAAUGCAAUUUACAUGGCUGCUCGACCCUUCUGAUGGAGUACAGACUUAUGCACAACUUCCCCGCUCGAGCUAACAAAGUAGGUGACCUGCAACACCGAAAAGUGAACACAUAAAAAUGCAUCAGUUGGUUAACUAAGGAAUUGGCGGAUUGCCGUGUUUUGUGAAAUAGAAUUGCAACGAAACACCAGACGAUAGGAAUACGCACCAUUUCUAGAGAGCUGACUCUAUGAAGAAGAAACUCGACCUCUGAAUCUCUGUGUGGUUGCAAGGGUAAGGAAACAAAGUAUAGUCAACAAGAAGUUGCAUGUAUAAGAUAAAAUGUGGAUCAAACUAAGGGUAUACAGAACUGAAAUGUUCACCUUCUUAGUACUGAUGUCUCAGAAGUUAGUGCAUUCAUUGAGCCCGGGUUCCCAAUGUAGCUCAGGCUACCUUGUUGGACAUUGCUAGUGCAACCCUGUCCACUGAUAUACGCAUUCUGGAGGACAUAGAGACAAGGAUUACAAAGUUUUGAGUAAGAUUUGUCAUCUGACUUAUGAUCGGAUACAAAGAACUACCGGUUCUUACCACUUCAUAUUUCAUAAAACUAUGGUGUAGAGACUCAACAACUUGUUUUGCUUCCAUUCCCUCUUCAUUAUCACCGCAUUUAGCCAAUGGGUGGAAACCAACAACUAUGCGCCUAUAUGCAAAACGCAUUACAGCAAGUUAGCGAUUGGAAGUUAUCCUAAACUUCACUCAGUUGAGCAAUCAGUUCUUAAGAUCAUCUCUUUUAUACUACAAGAAUCAAAUACUUGAACCAAAAAUUAGAACAAGAAAUCAAAAUCUUUGAAUUGCAUUGCCAAGAUUAUAGUAAAUGUGAAACCAGAAAUAAUACAAGUCAUCAAAUAGAAGUGUCCAAUGUAUCAAUAUUUGGAAAAACGUUUCUCAAAUUCCUUCCACCUUUUUUGGGUUUUGAAAUCUUAUGGAUCACCAGGAAUAGGAAUUAACAAGAAAUAGACAAGGCCAUACAGUAGAUUAAUUUUACCAGUCACUGCUGGUUGCCUCUAGUGUCCUUGUCAGCCAAUGUAAUUGAUUGUAUCCAAACUCACUUGAUGUUUCCGAGAUUAAAACCUUCCCCUUUGAAAUAAGUUCGUAAGAAAUAAGAACCCAGAAACUACAUACAUAUAUACAGAUCAAGGAUAAGUAACAUAUGAGAAGGAUGAGGAUGAGGCAGAAACAAUUUACGGCUUGAAAUGAUUAAAUGGACAAUCGCCACCUAUUAGUGAAACAUGAAUUACAGAAGGAUAUGACUAACAUAUGAACUGAUCAUGGAUUACUAUCAGGUAACUUUUUUUUCUUAUUCCAAAGAGACAAAACAUAUGAUCUAAUAGUAACUUCAAAUAUACAUAAAGCUGUCAUGAACAUCAGUGCUCAACAUGAACAAGAUGAAAGGAGCUAAGCCAAUGCCAAAAUGUAAAUAUGAUUGGACUGAUUAAUGGAACAACAACCCAAUGCGUACCUCAAUUGACCCAGUAUCCACACCAAUGAGGUCUAAGGUUUUCUCAUAAGGUAGUCUUAUCUGCUUCUGGAAGUAACCCCCUCCAUAUCUGCCUGAUACUGUAGUAGUAUACCAGGGAACCUUCAGUGAUGAAAAAUGCAGGGUACCCUGUAAAAGAGUACAUCCAGAGCUGUUGCUAACACUUACAAACCAUUGAAACUUUACUAGCAACUAGAAUCGAGGAUGCAGCUCAAGAAACUGAGAAGAAGAAAACGACCCUACAUUCUGCAUGAGUGGAUCAUCCUUCCCAAGAUCACUGAUAUCCACCACAAAUUUUGCCUUGUACUUCUUUGCCACCCUCGCCAUCUUUUACCAACAAGAAGGACCACAAUUAAACCAGUAAAAAGGAAAUCUUGAAAAGGCAAUUAGUAGAUGAAGAAUGUGGUAAAUGUCACUUUCAAGAUAUAGUAGUUCAUAACCAAGAAUCUAAUACAAAUGAACCACCAAAGCAAAGGUGACAAACUUAAAAGAAUCAAAACCCACGACCCCACUCCUCAAAUAAAUGCCUUAUUCUUGACCCCAUUAAUUCUCAGAAAGGUGUAGAGGUUUAGCUUAAUUUUUCACAAGGGUGCAGGAAGAUUCCUAUGCAAACAGUACAUAGAUGCUUAUCCUUAUCUUUAUCCAAUCUUCCCAACAUUUCUACCCAGCACCCAGUUUGGAACAUCCAACAACAUUAGCAAACAAUAAAGAUCGUCACUUUAUACAAUAGGAGACGAAACGAGCUAUAUACCCCCCAACAAGCAAAAACUAAACACUACGCAAAUCGAAAUAUGCAAGAAGCAUUACGAUUCCAAGAAAACUUUUACCUGUUUGAGAAGAUGGGUCUGUUGCUUGAGAGGUCUGAACCCUCCUCUGACGCUGAUGAAGUAAAGAUCUCUGCUUUCACUUGUUCUAUGGAGGUACACAGAGUUCUGAGGCUGACCUAGUUGAAAGGCAAGGUAGAGACAUAAGCAGAGACUCACUUGCGCCACUAUAGUUGGAACCCAUAAUGGUUUCUUCUCCAUUUUUUAUCACACUCCCUCUGUCUCUGACUCUCUGAGUGCUCAGUGUCCACUUAUAGUUCUGAUCUCAUGAAUGAAAACCUAAGACAUCCCACAGUAGUAUAUACUUUAAGUCGAUAAUAUUAUGAUCAUGUGCGUGUCGCGUCACGAAUAAGAUACCCGAAACAACUGAAUGCAUCGUUAGCUUUUACUUGUGAGAACAAGACAAUGAGAUUGGUGUUAUUAUUCUGAAUGGGGCCAACAUGUGUUAAAUUCUUGACUGUUCGUCCCUGUCAGGUAGUAUGGAUUUUUCAGGGCUCUGCUGUUUGUUGAAGAUGAAGUAAAUUACUGUAAGCAAAUAACUGAAGGAAUAUGCUUCAUUUUCAACAUGUCAUUGUGUAUGUCAUAUAUGUAGGUCAUGGCCUUCCCCUUUUCUUUUCACCUGAGAUAUGUAUGUACAAAGAUUAUUCUGACCAAGAUAUAAGAAAACUGCAUUCCAAAGGCACCAGACAUUGGGAAAGAGAUACUCUUAUCAAUAUAAUUUCUUUCUACACUAAUCCGCAGUUUUAAAAGCUCAUUUGUUCCUACAAUGUGUAAAAAGCACUAUUUCCCUUUUAUCCCGUAAGAAAUAGGAUGCUAAAGUACAGUAUACAUAAGAUCUAAGUCAUGCCACCAUCUCCAGUGCAGUAGACAUAUCCCAACACUUCGAAAAAGUUUCACUUCCAGCGAGCUCUUCAAACUCAGUUUCUUCAUCCUCAAAAGCCUGUUGCUUGCUUUCUUUCAGUCCAGGGUACCUGGCCUCAACCCGAACCAUUAAUAAUGCCAGAUAGAACAUUGGCAAUACAAUCAAGAAUAAUCUCAAAAAGCAAUCCUGUGCCACUAUCAGUGACCAGUUCAAUGUUACAAUCACCAGUAUAUACAAAUGAAAACAUUACUAAGUAUACAGUGGCAGCACUUUUUUAAAAUGAGAUAACUACUGCAGGGGUACACCGCCUUUUGAGAAGUUUCUAGUUGAACGAUUGCACCCUCAGGGAGCUAGAUUGAACAACCUGGCAUCAUGUCAAGCAUAACUUCCCUCACAACACAGCAACUCGUCCAACUAACAGUGCUCCUCAAUUUUAGAUUUAGUUGCUGAUCCAUCUUCUUUUCCGAGCUGGCCGUUCUGGUUUGAUCUCAGAUUCUACCACAGGAGGGUCACUAUUAGGGGAAGGCAGCAGUUCGGUCUCAAUCUUUUUGAUUGUUGAUGGUUCUUUUUCGCUCGGCAAUGGAAGCUUGAACCGCUCACUUCGUUUCUUCAACUUCUCAACGGUGUCCAGGUGACGGCCCUCCAAUGUCGUGUCUGUAUCUAAUGGUUUUGUGUCACCAUCCUUAAUAUCCUGAUCACCAGCAUUCUCCUCAGGCAAUGGAUGUUGGUUAUCAACAGCCUCAACAGGCUUGGAAGAAUCAUCUGGAAGUUUACUGCCAUCUGAGGAUCCCCUAUCAAGCUCUUUGAACUUUGAGGUAGAGGAUGACUUACUUAAGAUGCUGAAAUCCCUCUCCUUCUGACUUGUCCAUCGUUCCAAUUUGGAGCGCCCCUUUUUUAAAUCCUGCUGCUCAUCAUCAGAGGAAGCAUCUUCCCUGUGCCUUUUAGAAGAGUGACCAACUCCUUGCUCACGGGUGCCUUUCAAGCCCUAAAAGGGCAAAAGAAGCAAUCAUGAGAAGAGAGCCCAACUCAAUCAUCCAUUAUCAUCAACCAGGGUCAUAUACAAAAUUUCAAAAGCCAAAAAGGGAUUAUGAACAACAACUGGCAAAAUGUGCAUGGGAUUAUCCGGGAUUAGUGAAAAAGUUAUUAGCUAGUAACAUGUUGAUCUACUUGUUAUUGUUUAUCCUACUGCCCUCCUGUACUACCCUCCUACUGCUCAAACCAUAAACCUCAUUUUAAGGGGAAAUGAUACAUAUAGGCUGGCUCAAAUGCAGCUAACAUGUGUCCAUUGUUAAGAAAAAAAGUAUGUGCACUGGUCUCAGUAAAAAAAUGCGCUUCUGAUCAUGCAGAGGUUAUAGAUGUGAAGAUUUCAACAGCAGAAGCCAUCACAAAUUAGGCGAAAACUAAGUUACUAAUACAACCUUCCAAUUUUGGUUUUUGUUUUUAAUCUAUUUUUUUUACAAUGGAGAAAGGAAGAACUGAACCAUCACUCAAGCUUGAAACAUAAAAGAAAAUAGGUCCAAACAGUCUAUGCUACAGAUUGUCAGAGUUAUGCAUCAUUAAGUGUAGGAUUCCAUUGUUGUGAAAAAGAAAAAAGAAAAAACUGAGAUUUGAUUAUAUGUCAUCCAAAUCAAGCUUGCACCCUAUCUACCUUAUUUCUGAAGGAAAGAAGAGAAAUACAAUAACUAUUUGAAGAAACAAACAAACAAAUUAUGCACGAGACCUGAUGUCAAGAAUGGUACAUACCAUCUCCUUGCUACGGCCACUUUGGUCGUCUUGAUGUCUUUUGGAAGUGAUUGAAGUGCUGAUAUCAGCAAUUUCAAUUUCUUUAUUCCUUCUUGAAUUCUCUUUAUGUUUUCUAUCAUGGACCUUUUGACUAUCAACACGUUCAUUGCGAGUACUUGAUCUCUCUUUUCCAGAUCGUCUCUCAUCAAUAUUCAUUUGAUUUCCCCGUGCAUGAGCAUCCUCACGUCCCCUAUGAUGUGAACUUUCCUCCUCAACCCUAUCCCUUCUUUUGGACUGCUCACCAUGUCGCACAGUCUCUUUAUUUUGGUGCUCCUUAUCAGAGCCUUUGUUUUCAUCCUUCGCCCUAGCAUGGCCUACCCAUGCUUUGUCUUCUGAAACACGCCCACCCCUUACAGAAACUCGACCAUCAUCUCUUUCCCUCUUUGGUAGAUUUUCUUCAUGUGAUUGCUUAAGCCUAUGCCACUCCUCCCUUUCUCUUUGUCUGUCACCUCUCUCCCUCUGCAACCAGCUUUCAUCUUUGUGCCUGACAGAGUGGUGGUCAUCAGGAUUAUCCCUGACUUUCUGCUGGUCAUCUCUUUUACGCUGAUCUAAAACUUCAUCCCUUUCACGCUUUCGGCGAGUGGUAGUAUCUCUGUGGCCCUGUAGAAGUUCUUCUUUAUCUAUUUGGUCCCUCCUCAUGUAUUCCUCAUCUUUCCUUCUCUUGCCAUGGUAAUCAUCUAUAUGUUCAUACCUGCCCUUCAGACUAUCUUCUCUUUCCCUGGGUCGUGAUCCCACAUCCUUAUCAUAAAAGACCCUAUAGCUGCCAUUAUCUAACUGCUUUCUUGACUGCAUAUACUCAUCUUUGUCACUCCUCUCACUUUCACGAAUCUUACUCCUGUGCCUGGAUCCCAUUUCAUCACCACGUUCCCUCUUCCGUGGUUCUUCAGUUCUAAUCCUUCUGCUAUAAGGAUCAUCAUCCCUCCUUUGCCAUGCUCCAUCAAGAAUUUCCCUCUCUUUACGCCUAUGAAGCGCAUCAUUUUUAAAUUGUGAAUGAUGAACAGAGCUAGGAUCCCAAUCCCUAUACGGAUAAGAACCCUCCCUCCCUUUGAGUAACAUUUGAUUUCUAUCCGGUUCUGGUCUACCAUCACGGCCUUUUCUUUGGAAUCCCUGUUCCUUUUCAUCAAGGUGACUCUUGAUGCCUCCAGAGUGAGAUGAACGUCCUUGAAUUACUUCCUCCUCAACUCCAUCCCUCCACUUCUGAUAAUCCCUACUGCUUCCUGAUCUUGCUUUGCUGUUGUCACUACUUCUUGCAGCCUUGGAGUCUUCACCAUCAUCAAGUUCUUCAUCAGCAGACUGUUCAACUCGUGAAGUCAACUUUUGAUGGUUUGGAACUCCAUCAUUUACAUUCGCAGCCAUUUCCUCUUUUUCCAUUCCAGAGUUUUCAUCACCCGGUAAAGGCUCAUCUUGGUCACCGCUUCUAUGCUGAACAUUUGACUCACGGGCAGCCCCAUGUGAGACAGGAGAUGAGAUCAAAGGACUUCGUCUGCCAGCCACGCUUUCCACUGAUCCUUCCUUUUGAUUGUCAGGAAAUUUCAUGUCUCUUGUACUCCUAGGAGAUCUGUCACGUGCUCUUCUCUGUGUACCCCUAUUUUCUCCAAAACUACCACCAGUAGAACUGGGAGUCUGGUCCCCAGAACCAGCACGUUGGACUGGCCCUUCUGGACGGAAGGGCAAACUUUCAACGUCUUCUGGCACACUACCAUUGAAUGGCCUUUUCCUUCCAAGUGAAUCACUCUUUCGGUUAUUGUGCGCGUGUGGAAAACCAUUGGAGUAGGUCUUGUCAUCCUGUCGAAGGUCUCCCUCACCAAUAGCACUUCCAUCCUCUUUGGAAGGAUCAUUUUCAGUUCCGUCUGGGAUAUCAUUUCGUGCAGAGGAAUCAUCAUCUAAAGAGUCCUGCAAGACAAUCUGUUUAAGAUACAGACCACUAGUUAGCUUCUAUGACAAAACCUUAGAUACAAGCACAUAGGGACAGAAUCAACACACUAAAGAAUGAUUUGAUUAGUACUUCAAUGACAGCAUCUGAGUCACGCAUUCGCUGUGGCCGGUUUUCACAUGAGGGGAAACGUUCACCAUAACCACUUUCCACCUGUAUUGCUCUUCCAGUUGGCUGGCAUAAGAUAAAAUUACCCAAUGAGAUUUAAAACUAAGCUUUAAUGAUAUAUAUAGUUACAAAAUUAACACAUGCUGUCAAAGCAUGCAGAUAUCAAACAAUAUAUUUAUCUUGCAGACCAAUAUAUCUAUCUUGAAGAAUAUAAAACUGUAACAGGCAAGAUAUAGUUUGUAAGGAAGAAAAUUGGAAGUCUAUACAUACAAUAGGCGGACGCAUGCGAGCAGAUCCUUUUGCAAAAUCACUUUGCCCGCCCUCUGACUUUCCCAGGUUUGUAUUAGCAGUAGGAAAGUCAUGCAUACCAGUUGCUGCUGCCAAUUCUGGAGGCAGAUCUGGAUCAUAUUCCUGUGAUGUAACUUUUCUAUCAGUUCUAUCAAAAUUUGAUUGCGGUGAAAAAACAAUGCAAGAAAAGAUGAAAUGCAUAGGUUCUCACAAGAUGCAUAACCUCUCCCUUACCUGUUCUGUUCGUCCACUUUCGUAGACACGGAUUUUGCUUUGCAUGGUGGACUCCAAACGGAGCUGUUCCUGCAUAUAUUAAGUAUAGGAACAAUUAUACCCUUUGUUUAUAAGAUAGACAAAAAGAUAAUAUGGAUGGAUGUAUUGUUACCAGCUGUUUGCAAUAAUCUCUCCAGCUAUCAUCAUUUAAUCCAAAGUUGAAAUAGUCUGAAGUAUCAGCACCAGGAUAUUUCCAAGGUUUUUCCUCAAAACCGUCAAUGUCCACAUCAAAUAUGGUCCUGAAAAUCAUCAAGCAUUUUCAAUUUAACAAAAAAAUAAAGAGCAGAAGUAAUUUCCUGAUACCAAAAGAUGACAAGACACUUCCAAACAAAUAAAAGACUGCUCAUACAGUGUAAUAUAAAAUAUAUAAAUAAUGAAGAAAAUGUAUAACUUUCCAAAUAUGUAACCUAGAAAGUAGAUUUAAGCACUAGAAAACUUCAUGAUAUCUUCCAACCCAGAACAAAAGAAAUACACAACAGUAUGAAACUAUCAUGGAAGUCAGCAGAAAACAAUCCAGUUCAUCACAUAUAUGGGUAACUUAAAACUUAUCAUGAAUAUUACUUGUGAGAAGGAAGUGUGAAUUCAAGUCCACCCCCGAAACCGCGACCACCCAUAUUGUUGCCCCAGCCAGGUGUACCAAAGCCGGAGUGAAAAUUUUUCUGCAUCGGAGUACCGUUUUUUAAUCCAGUUGGUCUCCAGUCACCUCUACCUCGACCAGGUGUUGGGCCCAUGUUUACAAGUGGACGAACUUGACCUGGGACUCCAGGACCAGAAUUAGUCGGUCCAGGCAUUGGCACAGCACCUGGUCUCACAUACUGCAUAAGAUACAAAACAAACAAAUUUAGCUAGAAAAGUGUAGCAUGUUUCUAAUGUUGCAUAUUACAUCAUUUAACAUAUUUCUGAUUCAAGUAAGAAACAAUACAAUUGCUUGCUCAUGUAUGAUCAUAUCACAUAAUAUAUGACAAGUCAGACACAUAUAAAACAUUUUAAAAUGAUAUCAAACCAUCUACCCCACAACUAAAAUCAUGAAGACAUAUCAGAGCUAGAACAUAGAAGUGGCCAAAGAAAAAAAUUUGAAGUUGUAGAAUAAGUCUAGAACUUCAAGAAUCUCCCACUUGGGAAUUAGCUAUAUGAAGAGAGAGAGAGAGAGAGAGAGAGAGAGAGAAGAGCCAAGACAUAUUCAAGAAUUCAUUAGUUGGGCGCUAAUUGUUUGAAGGGGAAGGGGAGCAUCCAAGACCUAUUAGACCGACAUAGCAAACAGUUGAAUAGGUUUCCAAGAAGCAAAAACAUCAUAACAAAGAAGUUAUAGGAUUAGGUAAUCAAUAAUGGGACCUGAAGUAAAACAAUCAAAACCACUUCAGGAAGAUAGAGCACUGAAGCAAAACUGGUUUAUUCUAUUGAUAUCUUCACUGGCAGUGAAGUUCACCUAUCGAAGAUUAAAAAUUCAGAACUAACUUGCACGAUGCACUACUGUUUUCAGAGUUUCAAGUAAUAUUCUUUCUUAUUUAGACUGAAGUGUGAGUACUGGGUGACACAGUAUAUAAUGUGGAAUAGCUGCAUGGCUCUGUGAAAGGAAAAUGUUUAUGACCAAAGUGUAUAGAUUUGAAAGUCAGUAAUCUUCCUGGAAAUUCAGCCAUUAACAACUGUAAUAGAUUAGCACCGUAAUCCUCAAUUCUUCAGCUCUGUAUAGGUGCCUCAGGCCUCACUGUAGUUAAAUAUGCCACAGAAAGGCAACACUGAAGAUCCAUGGCAUACAAGCCACUUACACUGGUGAAGAAAUCUGAAGAUCAGAAGUUGCAAGGGUUGUAUAAUAUCCGGGAGUUAUCAUUGAUAAACAUUGAGCUUGUGAUUGAUCAAGAAGAGUAAAUACAAACAGCUUAAAACAAAAAAAUCAGCCAAGUAAAAUUCAAGUUGCCAAAAAAAUAGAACAUAAACCAUUAAGCAUCGAGUAAACCACUCUUUGUAUUGACUUCCAUUAAAAUUUUCAAGUAGCAUACACUCUAGUAACUAAAACAAUGCCAAACCAAUUCCAAAUUAUUAAUUUCACUAAACUAACUAACCAUGACAUUCACAUUGUACAAAAGCAUUACAAUGCAGGUAAUUUACAGUUCUAACUUUCUCAUCAAGCAAGGGGAGACGAGAUUGCCCCAUAUACAAAAAAGCUCCCUACUUUUUAAUCAAUAUAUUAACACAGCUAAACUAACCU
rnacentral:lncRNA from 1 species